CCCUUUUCGAGCCGCGCCCGCUCCCGUCUGGCGCCGAGUCGAGGCCUCCGCGGGUUUCCGCGGGCUUAGCCUUCCGUGUCUCAAUGUCUGAGGUCUGUGAGGUGAAACUCUUAGCCUCGCUUUGCCGAACUUCACGCUGAAGUAACCCAGGUUUUACUUUCAAACCUGCCACGUCUCGCUAAGUGUAUGUCUCUGAACUCUAAAGACAAGUUCUCUGAGAAUACUACCCGAUGCCGGUUUCCACUGUUAGGAACGCGGUGACAGAGAGAGAGGAAGGGAGAGGAAGCCCAAAACCCAGGCAUGUGCCCUGACCUGGAAUUGAACCAGCAACCUUUUGAUGCACAGGAUGAAGCCCAACCAACUGAGCCACACCAGCCAGGACUGUACUGGGACAUCUAGUUCAAGAUAAUUCUAUGCCCUGGCUGGUUUGGCUCAGUGAAUAGAGCGUUGGCGUGCAGACUGAA